AGACAGUGUCUCACAAUGUUACCUGGGCUGGACUUGAACUCCCGGACUCAAGCAUUCCUCCAGCCUCAGCCUCCUGAGUAGCUGGGACUACAGGCAAGAGUCCCCCGUACCCAGCAGUCAAAUUUAGCAGUGGAAGAUUGUAUACCAACUUUAGUGACACUAAUGCGAAUCAGUCCUGAUAACUCAGUACCAGCCAAGAAGUUCUGAGGAUGAAACCACAAAUCAACACGGGAUGAUGGAAGUAGACAGAGUUUCACUCUUGUUGCCCAGACUGGAGUGCAAUGGCGUGAUCUCAGCUGAUCGCAAUCUCCGCCUCCCAGGUUCAAGCAAUUCUCCUGUCUCAGCCUCCCAAAUAGCUGGGAUUACAGGUAUGGGCCACCACACCUGGCUAAUUUUGUACUUUUAGUAGAGGCAGGGUUUCUCCAUGUUGGUCAGGCUGGUCUCCAACUUCCCAUCU